rnacentral:lncRNA from 1 species
GAAGCUGAAGUCCGACAUGGAAGGCCUCCUGGUACAAACAGAAGUGGCCAGGAGGAGGGGCACUGGCUCGGUCAGUUGGCCCGGGAAGCUCUAGCUCGUACUCCGAAGGAACUCCAUACUGAAUUCUUAUCAGUGAGAGUUUAUUCAGAGUCAAGGAGCCGGGGAUGGUGUCUGGCACAAAGGCCAGACAAGGUUCGGUCCUAGCUAUGGGUUCGUCUACGAUAUAAGGACUUUGGGGAACCGAGGCUAGCGAACUCCUAGAAUUGCUAGAAGAGGAGAUAUCAGAAGACAUUGUGAAUCAAAUGGAAGCCACAGAAAUCCUAAAAAAAUCAGAAAAAAUAGCAAACAAGCCCUCGAGGAAGAUAAACGAGCAGAACACGAAGAAGAAAGGACAGAAAAAUGACAAGAAGUUCCGAAACUAACCUAGAUUAGCCCCAG